rnacentral:rRNA from 1 species
UACGAAGGGGGCUAGCGUUGCUCGGAAUCAUUGGGCGUAAAGAGCACGUAGGCGGAUUGCUAAGUCAGGGGUGAAAUCCUGGAGCUCAACUCCAGAACUGCCUUUGAUACUGGCGACCUUGAGUCCGGGAGAGGUGAGUGGAACUGCGAGUGUAGAGGUGAAAUUCGUAGAUAUUCGCAAGAACACCAGUGGCGAAGGCGGCUCACUGGCCCGGUACUGACGCUGAGGUGCGAAAGCGUGGGGAGCAAACAGG